UAGCUAAUAACCGGACUAACAAACAAGAUGAUGCCUAUCAACUGUUUAAAAGAUGGUUCUGCUAUCACUCUUGGAUGGACCUGCGGUGCAUUAGCUAGUUGGUAGGGUAACGGCCCACCAAGGCGAUGAUGCAUAGCCGAGUUGAGAGACUGAUUGGCCACAUUGGGACUGAGACACGGCCCAAACUCCUACGGGAGGCAGCAGCC
rnacentral:rRNA from 1 species